rnacentral:rRNA from 1 species
GACGUAGGGGGCCAGCGUUGCUCGGAAUUACUGGGCGUAAAGGGUCCGUAGGCGGUGCGGUAAGUCGGGAGUGAAAUCUCUGGGCUUAACUCAGAGGCUGCUUCCGAAACUACCGUGCUAGAGUGCGAGAGAGGCAAGUGGAAUUGCGGGUGUAGCGGUGAAAUGCGUAGAUAUCCGCAGGAACAUCCGAGGCGAAAGCGGCUUGCUGGAUCGCAACUGACGCUGAGGGACGAAAGCUAGGGGAGCAAAUGGG